rnacentral:lncRNA from 1 species
GAUUUCUGGGAUUUUGGGGAAUUUGGGGAAUUUAGGAUUGGGAUUUUGGGGAAUUUGGGAUUUCUGGGAUUUUGGGGAAUUUGGGAUUGGGAUUUCUGGGAUUUGGGGGAAUUUGGGAUUGGGAUUUUGGGGAAUUUGGGGAAUUUGGGAUUGGGAUUUGGGAAUUUGGGAUUUCUGUGAGUCCCCGGUUUCCGUUUCCCGCAGAUCCCUCGGGGUUCGUGUUCGAUUCUCGCUCCGGGGCCGUGCGGGCUCAGGGCGGCGCCGAGAACAUGAGGGAGAAGGUGCAGGCCGUGCGCGCGGUCGUUCCCAACCGCAGCAACACCGAG